GGUCCGUCUGCAGUCGGCAGCCUCGCCGGCAGCUUGCUCGGCCCCCGCUUGGCCCGGCCCGCAGGUAGGAGCCGCCGAGGGACGCGGCGCCCGGUUCCCGGCCCCGCCUGCGCCGCGCUCCCCGCUCCCGCCGCCCGCUUCGAGGAGCUGUUCUAUGAAGACCGCCAUUUCCACGAGGGCUGCUUCCGCUGCUGCCGCUGCCAGCGCUCACUAGCCGAUGAACCCUUCACCUGCCAGGACAGUGAGCUGCUCUGCAAUGACUGCUACUGCAGUGCAUUUUCCUCGCAGUGUUCUGCCUGUGGGGAAACUGUCAUGCCUGACGCUGACACAGGGUGGAGUGACAUACCGUGAUCAGCCGUGGCAUCGAGAAUGUCUGGUCUGUACCGGGUGCCAGACGCCCCUGGCAGGGCAGCAGUUCACCUCCCGGGAUGAAGAUCCAUACUGUGUGGCCUGUUUUGGAGAACUCUUUGCACCUAAGUGCAGCAGCUGCAAGCGCCCCAUCGUAGGACUCGGUGGAGGCAAGUAUGUGUCCUUUGAAGACCGACACUGGCACCACAACUGCUUCUCCUGCGCCCGCUGCUCUACCUCCCUGGUGGGCCAAGGCUUCGUACCGGAUGGAGACCAAGUGCUCUGCCAGGGCUGUAGCCAGGCAGGGCCCUGAGUCAGGGCUCCUGGACCCAGGCUUUCCCAUAUCACGGGCCCAGGACUGUGGCUCCUUUUCUAAACCAUCUCUGGGACUCAGCACCCCCCGCCAAAACAAAUGGGUCUCCUUCUGGGCUCCAGGAUUGUCUCCCCACUCCAGCAUCCCCAAACUGGUACCCCCUGACCCAGGCCCCCAAACCUGGGCUCUUAUAGAGCCUCCAUGAGUCAAGCCCCCUCC
rnacentral:sRNA from 1 species